rnacentral:lncRNA from 1 species
CCUUGGAAAGGUGUAGUUGCUUGUUAAGUUCUCAACUGGGAAGGCCCUGGACCGUAAAGGUAGAAUAAAUCAGAACCUCAAGCCUGCAUGAGGUAGGCCGAUGCUAUAAAUUUCUCCAGAGAAAAUCCUUUCUACCAUGAAAAUCUCAGGACAAGAGAGGUCAGCUCCUUGUUUUUCCUCUCCGCGGUAUGGGGUUUCUCAGAGAUUUUUGGUGGUGGCUAAUUGAUCAUGGUGUCCCUAGGAAUGAAACAGCUGGGCAGUCUGCUGGAGUAUUGCUUGAUCUGCAACAUCGAAAAACUCUAGUUCUGGUGGCCAAACCCUGACUUAAGUUGCCACGAUGGAGAGAAGGACCACUCACCAGGUUUUCUGGCCUAAGCCAAUUCACAGACUCAGAGCCUCUUGAGGAAGGACUCUUCAUUACGGUUUCAAGUCCACAGCAUCAGUGAGCUACCAUAGGCCCAUCCUGGACACAAUGCAAUUUUUCAAUCUGUUGACAUCCCGGCUGUGUUCAAGGAGAGACAGUGAGAGAGGAAGAGUGAAUGGGGAAGCAAGAGAGUGAGAGACAGAGAGAGAAUGAG